UCCUCCAGGCUUACCUUGACCUACUAGGUCCUGUGAUGACCACCAGCACCACCACCACCAGCACCAUCACCCCACCAUCCGGCAUUCCUGAACCCUCAAUAAGCCUCCAGGCGGACCAGGGCCCACUGCGCCCUCCAGCUCCCACCUCCACCUCCACCACCACCACCACCUAACCAGGACCAGAACAGAGGGGCUCUGUGCCGGACAAUCUUUCAAGGGAGCAAGUCCGGCAAUUGAUUCUGAUUCUGUGGGCGGUGGUGAACAGAAUGUUCAAAAUUAUUUUGCAGC